CAAAAGCGUAUAUUAAAGUUGUUGCAGUUAAAAAGCUCGUAGUUGAACCUUGGGCUUGGCUGGCCGGUCCAUCUUUUUUGAUGCGUACUGGACCCAGCCGAGCCUUUCCUUCUGGCUAGCCUUUUGGCGAACCAGGACUUUUACUUUGAAAAAAUUAGAGUGUUCAAAGCAGGCCUUUGCUCGAAUAUAUUAGCAUGGAAUAAUAGAAUAGGACGUUAUGGUUCUAUUUUGUUGGUUUCUAGGACCAUCGUAAUGAUUAAUAGGGACGGUCGGGGGUAUCAGUAUUCAGUUGUCAGAGGUGAAAUUCUUGGAUUUACUGAAGACUAACUACUGUGAAAGCAUUUACCAAGGACGUUUUCAUUAA
rnacentral:rRNA from 1 species